rnacentral:rRNA from 1 species
CAUGCCGUAAACGAUGAGUGCUAAGUGUUAGGGGGUUUCCGCCCCUUAGUGCUGCAGCUAACGCAUUAAGCACUCCGCCUGGGGAGUACGACCGCAAGGUUGAAACUCAAAGGAAUUGACGGGGGCCCGCACAAGCGGUGGAUUAUGUGGUUUAAUUCGAAGCAACGCGAAGAACCUUACCAGGACUUGACAUCCUACUAACGAGGUAGAGAUACGUCAGGUGCCCUUCGGGGAAAGUAGAGACAGGUGG